rnacentral:rRNA from 1 species
AUUGAACGCUGGCGGCAGGCCUAACACAUGCAAGUCGAGCGGAGCGGCGGACGGGUGAGUAAUGCCUAGGAAUCUGCCUGGUAGUGGGGGAUAACGUCCGGAAACGGGCGCUAAUACCGCAUACUAUCAGACGAGCCUAGGUCGGAUUAGCUAGUUGGUGGGGGCAAGGCCUACCAAGGCGACGAUCCGUAACUGGUCGGAGAGGAUGAUCAGUCACACCGGACCUGAGACACGGUCCAGACUCCAACGGGAGGCCGCAGUGGGCAAUCUUGGACAAUGGGCGAAAUCCUGAUCCAGCCAUGCCGCGUGGCUGAAGAAGGUCUUCGGAUUGUAAAGCACGUUAAGUUGGGAGGCGUUACCAACAGAAUAAGCACUGGCGAACUUCGUGCCAGCAGCCGCGGUAAUAC